CACAUGUCAUUUCUUCCUGCAGUCAUAACUAGUUACAUGGUUCAGCUUAAGCAUGGGAGGUUGGGAAAAUGGGGGAAAGCAGAUGGAAUGCUUGCUGAGCACCAUGGUCUCUGCCACAGUAAGUUCAGAACCUAUAGUGAUUACAUCACUUCUCUUGACCUCUUCCUCUUCUCCAACUUGUUGCUUUAGAGGCUAUGUGAGUUCAUUGUCCCUACAGGUGGAGCCAACAGAAAAGCAAGCAGUGAUUUUGUGAUAAAUGGAGCGGCAAAAGGUAUAAAGGCCCAAAGACAAAAAA